CCCCACGCUUACCCAGGCCAGAUCGGAGACCAAGACCAGGCCGGAGGUGACCGCCCGCUGAGGCUCUUCCUUCCCUGAGGUGGCUACGUGUGUCAAAGUGCUGACCCCCUCCACCAUGACCUGACCCGCACGAACACCGCCAACGGACCACGGACAACUCCCAUCUUAUGCUUUCAUUGUAUUUACUCCUCAAUAAAGGCAUGCAGUUCUCCCGCUA